rnacentral:rRNA from 1 species
UUGAGCGCUGGCGGCAGGCCUCACACAUGCCAGUCGAGCGGAUGAAGGGAGCUUGCUCCUGGAUUCAGCGGCGGACGGGUGAGUAAUGCCUAGGAAUCUGCCUGGUAGUGGGGGAUAACGUCCGGAAACGGGCGCUAAUACCGCAUACGUCCUGAGGGAGAAAGUGGGGGAUCUUCGGACCUCACGCUAUCAGAUGAGCCUAGGUCGGAUUAGCUAGUUGGUGGGGUAAAGGCCUACCAAGGCGACGAUCCGUAACUGGUCUGAGAGGAUGAUCAGUCACACUGGAACUGAGACACGGUCCAGACUCCUACGGGAGGCAGCAGUGGGGAAUAUUGGACAAUGGGCGAAAGCCUGAUCCAGCCAUGCCGCGUGUGUGAAGAAGGUCUUCGGAUUGUAAAGCACUUUAAGUUGGGAGGAAGGGCAGUAAGUUAAUACCUUGCUGUUUUGACGUUACCAACAGAAUAAGCACCGGCUAACUUCGUG